rnacentral:rRNA from 1 species
ACGGAGGAUGCAAGCGUUAUCCGGAUUUAUUGGGUUUAAAGGGUGCGUAGGCGGUAUUACAAGUCAGGGGUGAAAUCUUGGUGCUUAACAUUAAAAUUGCCUUUGAAACUGUGGUACUUGAGUGUAAAAGAGGUAGGCGGAAUGUGUUGUGUAGCGGUGAAAUGCAUAGAUAUAACACAGAACCCCGAUUGCGAAGGCAGCUUACUAUCAUACAACUGACGCUGAUGCACGAAAGCGUGGGGAUCAAACAGG